GGGGUGGGAAUUCAUGAACCCGAAGUACCACCGACCUGGCCGAACUUGAUGAAAAAGCAGGUAAAAAGAGCCCAACCCUGAUGUUUCUCACUCUCUCUCUCUCUCUCUCUCAUUUUCAUUUUGCAUGUGCCGCAGCCCGCAGCCGCUCCUAGCCUCCUAUCUCUCAAAAUUUCCUCACUUUUCCUCUUUCAAUUCCUUCUUUCUCUUCAAUCUUCUCUCAGAAACCCUAAAACCCCUCACUUCCACCGCCGUUCCUCCGUCAUCGGCUCCUCACAGUCCUCAGGCUAAGAUUAAAUAGCAAUUCUUCUUCUUCGUCUCACACAUUUCGAACUGUGAAAGGACUCAAGAAGAUCGAAAAGACAGCGACUUAGGAAGAUCGAAGAAGAAGAGUGAAAGAUUAGUUUUUAUUUUCGUAUUUGAACUUCAUGUUCUUAUUGUCAUUUUUCUGGUUUCUGUUGAUUUCUCUUUCUCGUUUUUCUGUUCUCUCGAAAUAUAUUAUUUUGUGUAGCUAUGCCUUGUCCACCUUCGAGAACUGAGAAGUUGAUGGGGGAAACCUAAUCUAAAUUAUAAUGAUUAAUUACUAACUGUGAAUUACUAUUGA